AUACAAUGAUGUGGACACCUCCUCAGCAACUCCUUAUAUCUCUCCCAUGCUUCAUACAAUGACUUUCAUUCUUGCUGUACAAAUGAUGUGAUUUCACCCCUUAAUUU